AGAGUUUGAUCCUGGCUCAGGAUGAACGCUGGCGGUAUGCCUUACACAUGCAAGUCGUACGAGAGUUUUUAACUCAAGUGGCGGACGGGUGAGUAACACGUAAGAAUUUGCCUCUAGGAGGGGGAUAACAACUGGAAACGGUUGCUAAUACCCCAUAUGCUUUCGAGUGAAAUGGAUUUCCGCCUAGAGAGAAGCUUGCGGCUGAUUAGCUUGUUGGUGAGGUAAUGGCUCACCAAGGCGACGAUCAGUAUCUGGUUUGAGAGGACGAUCAGACACACUGGAACUGAGACACGGUCCAGACUCCUACGGGAGGCAGCAGUGGGGAAUUUUCCGCAAUGGGCGAAAGCCUGACGGAGCAAUACCGCGUGAGGGAUGACGGCCUAUGGGUUGUAAACCUCUUUUUUCAGGGAGGAAUUAAUGACGUGUACCUGAAGAAUAAGCAUCGGCUAACUCCGUGCCAGCAGCCGCGGUAAGACGGGGGAUGCAAGUGUUAUCCGGAAUCACUGGGCGUAAAGCGUCUGUAGGUGGUUUGAUAAGUCAACUGUUAAAUCUUGAGGCUUAACCUCAAAAUCGCAGUCGAAACUAUUAGACUAGAGUAUAGUAGGGGUAAAGGGAAUUUCCAGUGGAGCGGUGAAAUGCGUAGAUAUUGGAAGGAACACCGAUGGCGAAGGCACUUUACUGGGCUAUUACUAACACUCAGAGACGAAAGCUAGGGUAGCAAAUGGGAUUAGAUACCCCAGUAGUCCUAGCUGUAAACCAUGGAUACUAGAUGUUGAACAGAUCGACCUGUGCAGUAUCAAAGCUAACGCGUUAAGUAUCCCGCCUGGGAAGUAUGCUCGCAAGAGUGAAACUCAAAUGAAUUGACGG
rnacentral:rRNA from 1 species